UACCCGCAGCACAAGUGGUGGUCAUUAUUAUUGGGCCUAAAGCGUCCGUAGCUGGCGUGUUAGAUGCCUGGGUAAAUCGAUGCGCUCAACGUAUCGAAUUCCGGGUAGACCGGCACGCUCGAGACCGGGAGAGGUGUAGGCUACUCGCGGGGUAGGGGUAAAAUCCUGUAAUCCUGCGGGGAGGACCAGUGGCGAAGGCGCUACACUAGAACGGCUCUGACAGUGAGGGACGAAGCCCUGGGGCGCAAACCGG
rnacentral:rRNA from 2 species